UGGGUAGCAAACAGGAUUAGAUACCCUGGUAGUCCACGCCCUAAACGAUGUCUACUUGCUGUUGGGGGUAACCUUAGUAGCGAAGCUAACGCGAGAAGUAGACCGCCUGGGGAGUACGGUCGCAAGAUUAAAACUCAAAGGAAUUGACGGGGACCCGCACAAGCGGUGGAUGAUGUGGAUUAAUUCGAUGCAACGCGAAAAACCUUACCUACCCUUGACAUGUCAGGAAUCCCGGAGAGAUUUGGGUGUGCUCGAAAGAGAGCCUGAACACAGGUGCUGCAUGGCUGUCGUCAGCUCGUGUCGUGAGAUGUUGGGUUAAGUCCCGCAACGAGCGCAACCCUUGUCAUUAGUUGCUACAUUUAGUUGGGCACUCUAAUGAGACUGCCGGUGACAAACCGGAGGAAGGUGGGGAUGACGUCAAGUCCUCAUGGCCCUUAUGGGUAGGGCUUCACACGUCAUACAAUGGUCGGUACAGAGGGUUGCCAAGCCGCGAGGUGGAGCCAAUCCCAGAAAGCCGAUCGUAGUCCGGAUCGUAGUCUGCAACUCGACUACGUGAAGUCGGAAUCGCUAGUAAUCGCGGAUCAGAAUGUCGCGGUGAAUACGUUCCCGGGUCUUGUACACACCGCCCGUCACACCAUGGGAGUGGAGGAUACCAGAAGUAGCUAGACUAACCGCAAGGGGGUCGGUUACCACGGUAUGUUUCAUGACUGGGGUGAAGUCGUAACAAGGUAGCAGUAGGGGAACCUGCGGCUG
rnacentral:rRNA from 1 species